GUGGGGAAUAUUGGACAAUGGGCGAAAGCCUGAUCCAGCCAUGCCGCGUGUGUGAAGAAGGUCUUCGGAUUGUAAAGCACUUUAAGUUGGGAGGAAGGGCAGUAAGUUAAUACCUUGCUGUUUUGACGUUACCGACAGAAUAAGCACCGGCUAACUUCGUGCCAGCAGCCGCGGUAAUACGUAGGGGGCAAGCGUUGUCCGGAAUUACUGGGCGUAAAGCGCGCGUAGGUGGUUCGUUAAGUUGGAUGUGAAAGCCCCGGGCUCAACCUGGGAACUGCAUCCAAAACUGGCGAGCUAGAGUACGGUAGAGAGUGGUGGAAUUUCCUGUGUAGCGGUGAAAUGCGUAGAUAUAGGAAGGAACACCAGUGGCGAAGGCGACUACCUGGACUGAUACUGACACUGAGGUGCGAAAGCGUGGGGAGCAAACAGGAUUAGAAACCCGAGUAGUCC
rnacentral:rRNA from 1 species